rnacentral:lncRNA from 1 species
AUAUUUUAAGCCAAUGAGUCUCUCCAUUCUGCAUCAUAAUUAUAAUAAGUAGAUAUUAUUAGUUUACUUCGCAAGCAAUAAAUCAUGUAUAUUUGUAUGGGUGAAUUUGCUGAAUAUUCUUAAGAGGCAAGAAAAUGAAGAAUAUAGCCAUUAUACUCUAAUUCAAGAUGGAUUGGACAAUUUGCGCAAAACAUGACCAAAAUCUCCCUUCAGACGUGUGCGCUUGAUGUUUUAAUGCAUAAGAUAAAAUUAUCAUACUAUUUAGUAUAGGCACACGAAUAAUUUCACUCUAACUAUACUAUAUUUCAUUUAGAAUAGUAUGGCAAUUGAUGUUGGGUACCGACGUAAUGAAACACAACCAAAUAAACCCUAAACCCGCUACCUAAACCCAAACUCUAAACACUAAACCCUAAACCCAUACCCUAAACUCUAAACCCAAACGGUAGACUCUAAAACCCUAAACCCAAACCGUAUACCCUAAACCCAAACCCUAACACAAAUCUUAACCCAAACCGUAGGGAGCUACCAGAACCCUAAACCAUAAACCCAAACCCCAAACACAAAUUUUUAAGCCAUACCCAAACGGAGCUACCUAAACCCUAAAACCCCCUAAACCCAAAUUCUAAACCCUAAACCCAAACCGUAAACCCUUAACCCAAACCCUAAACCCAAAUUGUAAAACCAAACCAUCGCCCAUAAUAGAGCUACCUAAACCCUAACCUUGAAGGUCUAAACCCUAAACCCAAACCGUAGACCCUAAACCCAAACCCUAAACACAAAACCCCCUAAACCCAAACUCCAAACUCUAAACUCUAAACCCAAACCGUAAACCCUUAACCCAAACCCUAAACCCAAAUUGUAAAACCAGACCAUCGCCCAUAACGGAGCUACAUAAACCCUAAUCUUGAAGGUCUAAAAUAUACUAUAUUUCAUUUAGAAUAGUAUGGUAAUUGAUGAUAGUUACUAUAUUGAUGAAUGGAAAAAGGAGGAAAGGAAGUAGGAAUGGAGGGGAGGAGGAGGAAGGAGGAAAGAUAGAAGUAUGGAGGAAAGGAAGUAGGAAUGGAGAGAGAGACAGAGAGAGACCGGGGAAGGGAGGGGAGGAGAGAAACCGACAUAGGAGGAAACUAUACUAUUUUGAUGGCAUGUUCACCAAAGAAGAGAACUUAUAUGCACGCAUGUCCAUGUAUGGGAAAAGGCUGGCAUACGACUAUACUAUAUUCAAUAUAGGCUUUUAUCCAAACAAGCCGA